AGUCAGCCUGUCCUUUGAAGUUUUGAGGCCAGGCAUUGACUUCUCUCUACCUGUGAAAGUCCUAGGUGG
rnacentral:miRNA from 14 species